rnacentral:rRNA from 1 species
CCUACGGGAGGCAGCAGUGGGGAAUAUUGCACAAUGGGGGAAACCCUGAUGCAGCGACGCCGCGUGAGUGAAGAAGUAUUUCGGUAUGUAAAGCUCUAUCAGCAGGAACGAGACAAGACGGUACCUGACUAAGAAGCCCCGGCAAACUACGCGCCAGCAGCCGCGGUAAUACGUAGGGGGCAAGCGUUAUCCGGAAUCACUGGGUGUAAAGGGAGCGUAGACGGCUGAGCAAGCCUGAAGUGAAAGGCGGGGGCCCAACCCCGGGACUGCUUUGGAUACUGGACGGCUGGAGUGCAGGAGAGGGAGGUAGAAUUCCAGGUGUAGCGGUGAAAUGCGUAGAGAUGAGGAGGAACACCAGUGGCGAAGGCGGCUUACUGGACUAUGACUGACGUUGAGGCGCGAAAGCGUGGGGAGCAAACAGGAUUAGAUACCCGUGUAGUC